rnacentral:rRNA from 1 species
UCCUACGGGUGGCUGCAGUGGGGAAUAUUGGGCAAUGGGGGAAACCCUGACCCAGCAACGCCGCGUGAAGGACGAAGGCCUUCGGGUUGUAAACUUCUUUGAUCAGGGACGAAACAAAUGACGGUACCUGAAGAACAAGCCACGGCUAACUACGUGCCAGCAGCCGCGGUAAUACGUAGGUGGCAAGCGUUAUCCGGAUUUACUGGGUGUAAAGGGCGUGUAGGCGGUCUUGCAAGUCGGAAGUGAAAUUCCCGGGCUUAACCCGGGCGCUGCUCCCGAAACUGCGAGACUUGAGUACUGGAGAGGAUAGUGGAAUUCCUAGUGUAGCGGUAAAAUGCGUAGAUAUUAGGAGGAACACCAGUGGCGAAGGCGGCUAUCUGGACAGUAACUGACGCUGAGGCGCGAAAGCGUGGGGAGCAAACAGGAUUAGAUACCCGUGUAGUCU